CGUGUGUGUGUGUGUGUGUGUGUGUGUGUGUGUGUGUAUGUGUAGCUGCUGAAAGUGUAAAGUGUAGUGGGAGUUUGAGGGAGGGAAAUAUUGUGGAUUUAGACUCAUGUGACUGGUGAAAAAUUACAGGCAACAUCUAGAUAGCAGAUUGACAAAAUAAUGCGAGUUUUGCUUGCUGCGAAACUGUUCACAUCCAGCUAUUUAGACUUGUUCAAGUUUGGAGUCUUUUUUCUUUUUCUAAAAAAUGUAUAAAUUCAGCAAGGAUGCAUUAAGUUGAUAAAAUUGACAGUAAAAACAAGCAUAAUAUUACAAAACAUUUCUAUUUCAAAUCAAUGCUUCUUUUGAACUUUCUAUUUAUCAAAUAAUCCUGAACUAUCACAGGAAUACAUUACAUUAUUACAUUGUAUAUUCAAAUAGAAAACAGUUAUUUUAAAUGGUCAUAAUAUUUAACAAUAUUAGUGUUUUUACUUUAUUUUUGAUCAUCAGCCUUGGUGAGAAUAAGAUACUUUUUAAUUUUUUUU